rnacentral:rRNA from 1 species
CACGUAGGGCGCAAGCGUUGUCCGGAAUUAUUGGGCGUAAAGAGCUCGUAGGCGGUCUGUUGCGUCCGCUGUGAAAACUCGGGGCUUAACCCCGAGCCUGCAGUGGAUACGGGCAGACUAGAGGUAGGUAGGGGAGACUGGAAUUCCUGGUGUAGCGGUGAAAUGCGCAGAUAUCAGGAAGAACACCAAUGGCGAAGGCAGCUCUCUGGGACGGUACUGACGCUGAGACGCGAAAGCGUGGGGAGCGAACAGG